ACUACACAGAACUGUCACCCAGCCAGCGCCCUUUUGUCUCACAAUUUGCAGGGUGAUUAGAGAGUGAGAUAGAACUCAUUUAGCCCAGGCCACAGUGAGAAACGGAAACCUCAGCUUUUGAUGCUUGUCAUCUCUCUCUCCCUACUCACUCUGUACUGUAGCUGACAACCAGAUUGAAAGAAGAACCAGGAGUCAGGGACCACGAUAAGUCUAUGACUGUCCUGACAACCUUUAUAAAGUCGGGGUAGCUGAAACAUCUUCAACGGAAAAUUAGGGAAUAGGAUCCUGAGAUCAAAGCUUACAAUUUAAGAAUAAUUUGGUUAAACCAAAACCCAUAUGACAGAAAUCUGAGCAACCAUGAGGUUAUAACAAGAAGAAAGGAAAUAAACAUCUCAAAAUAAAUGUAUGGGAAUGAAAGUUUGCUAUUUUUUUAUCCUCACCCUAGGAUAUGAUGUUUUUAUUUAUUUAUUUUCAUUGAUUCUAGAGAGAGAGGAAGUGAGAGGGAGAGAGAGAGAGACAUAUGGCUAGGUUGCCUCCUGCAUGCGCCCCCACUGGGGAUCAAGCCUGAAACCCAGGCUUGUGCCCUGACCCGGAACUCAAAAUAACAAUGGCUUAAACAAAAUGAAAGUGCAAACAAGUCCAGAAAUAGGCAAUCCAGAGUUCAUGAGCCAUCUUGGCUCCCAUCAGGGACCUAUUGGAGCGUUUUGUUCUACCCAGCAUGUGGCUUCCAUUGUAAAGGUCACCUCAUGAUUCAAGGUGGCCCUUGGAGCUCCAGUCAUUAUGUUUAUGUUCCAGCUGGCAACAGGGGAAAGCAAAAGAGGGAAAGAAAACUUCCUCCCAGCAGCAAAGGUUCUUUUUAAGCUGUGUUCCAAAAAUGCCUCCAUCGUCUUCUUAGAGGUCUUUGGCCAAACGAUAGUCACCGGACUAUGUUCAGUUGUAAGGGAGGACCGGGAAAUAGAGACUUCAGCUGGGUACAUUGCUGCCACCCAAAAAUCAGGAUGCUAUUACUAAAGUAAGAAAGGACCGGCAACUGUCACGUGGCCAUCAGCAGUCCCUGCCAGUCCUCCUUCCUGCUCCCAGCCUUUCCCUCUACAUUCCAUUCCUCUCACAGCAGCCAGAAUGUAAUUCCUCUGUUCACAACUUGUCAAUGGCUCUUGACAUACUUAAAGUAAAAGCCAAAGUCCUUCUGGUGCCCUUCAAGGCCAUUUGUGAUCUGGCUCCACUGUCAAUCUGACCUCAUCUCCUAUCUCUUUUCCCUUCUCAUCCUGCCCCAUUGCACAUCAGACAGACAAAACUGGCCCCUCUCUCAGGGCCUUUGCAUUUGUGGUCUCCUCUGCCUAGGACUUUCUUUUCCCAUAUUUCCAUAGGGUUUGUCCUGUGACUUCCUUCAGUUUCUGUACAAUGUUAUCUCGUCAAAGGACUCUCCCCUGACUACCCCAUACGUAGUGCAUGCCUGCACCUACGUUCUUUAUUCCCUUGGCCUUCUUGAAUUUUCUCCAUAGAACCUACCACCACCUGAAAUGUUAGCAUGUUUUAUUUAAUGUGUAUCUCUCCUCACUAGGAAACAAGCAUCAUGAGAGCCAUGAUUUUGUCUCAUUCCUUCACUGCUUUUUCCCCAGCACCUAGGACAAUGCUGAAAGGUAGUCGUCACUCAGUGGAUCAACUCUCAUUGCUCUGUGAUUCAGGGUGGCCCUGCAUCUUACUAGAACGUUCAAUGAUCAUCAAAGGGAUUGUUUGACAUUAAAAUAUAUAUUUGUUAAAAGAAAAUGAAUGAAUGUAUCCUUCACCCACUCCAUGAACCCUAGUCUAAUUAGAAACUCAGCUAAUCCCUGUGUUAUAAAAGCCUCAAAAUUGUAAAAGGAAUAUGAGUCCAGGGACUUGCUUGCUGUUACCAUUCACCUUUGCAGAAGUGUCCUUAUCGUCGGGAUUGUUGCUCAUUUCAGGGAGUGAGGCACUCAUGCUCCUGGAAAACCAAGCUCUCUCAGCUGUAGAAGAUCACCAAGGCUGUGUUCUACCCUCUUCUUUUACUGCGUGGCUAAAAGUAGGGCUCUUUCGGGAAAAUGUUUCAGUUGGAUGCCCAUAUUGCAAUGAUGGUAAAUCACAAACCACCCUGA